UAGGGAAUCUUCCGCAAUGGGCGAAAGCCUGACGGAGCAACGCCGCGUGAGUGAUGAAGGUCUUCGGAUCGUAAAACUCUGUUAUUAGGGAAGAACAAAUGUGUAAGUAACUAUGCACGUCUUGACGGUACCUAAUCAGAAAGCCACGGCUAACUACGUGCCAGCAGCCGCGGUAAUACGUAGGUGGCAAGCGUUAUCCGGAAUUAUUGGGCGUAAAGCGCGCGUAGGCGGUUUUUUAAGUCUGGUGUGAAAGCCCACGGCUCAACCGUGGAGGGUCAUUGGAAACUGGAAAACUUGAGUGCAGAAGAGGAAAGUGGAAUUCCAUGUGUAGCGGUGAAAUGCGCAGAGAUAUGGAGGAACACCAGUGGCGAAGGCGACUUUCUGGUCUGUAACUGACGCUGAUGUGCGAAAGCGUGGGGAUCAAACAGGAUUAGAUACCCUGGUAGUCCACGCCGUAAACGAUGAGUGCUAAGUGUUAGGGGGUUUCCGCCCCUUAGUGCUGCAGCUAACGCAUUAAGCACUCCGCCUGGGGAGUACGACCGCAAGGUUG
rnacentral:rRNA from 1 species